AUGUCGGGCCUUCACAGGUCUGAUAAUUGGAAUGAGAACAAUUUAAAACACUUAACGAGGAUCCACUGGAGGGCAAGUCUGGUGCCAGCAGCCGCGGUAAUUCCAGCUCCAGUAGCGUAUAUUAAAGUUGUUGCAGUUAAAAAGCUCGUAGUUGGAUUUCUGGCCUGAGACGGCUGGCCCGCCAGGGUUUCCUGGUGAGUGCCGGUGUGUCUCUGCCAUCCUUUCGGAAAUCGUGCCUACUCUUUACUGAGCCGGGUACGCGAUCCGAAUCUUUUACUUUGAAAAAAUUAGAGUGUUCAAAGCAGGCUUGCGCCGUGAAUACAUUUGCAUGGAAUAAUAAUUUAGGACUUCGGUUUUAUUUUGUUGGUUUCUAGAACUGAAGUAAUGAUUGAUAGGGAUAGUUGGGGGUGCUAGUAUUCAGAGGCCAGAGGUGAAAUUCUUGGAUUCUCUGAAGACUAACUUAUGCGAAAGCAUUCACCAAGGAUGUCUUCUUUAAUCAAGAACGAAAGUUGGGGGAUCGAAGAGGAUCAGAUACCCUCGUAGUCUCAACCAUAAACUAUGCCGACUAGGGAUUGGUGAGCGUUGCUUUUUCGACCUCAUCAGCACCUUAUGAGAAAUCAAAGUUUUUGGGUUCCGGGGGGAGUAUGGUCGCAAGGCUGAAACUUAAAGGAAUUGACGGAGGGGCACCACCAGGAAUGGAGCCUGCGGCUUAAUUUGACCCAACACGGGAAAACCUACCAGGUCCAGACAUAAGUAGGAUUGACAGAUUGAAGAUCUUUCUUGAUUUUAUGGGUGGUGGUGCAUGGCCGUUCUUAGUUGGUGGAGUGAUUUGUCUGGUUAAUUCCGUCAACGAACGAGACCUCGACCUGCUAAAUAGUGUGGCGAAUCCUUGGAUUCGUGCAAACUUCUUAGAGGGACUAUCGGUGUGUAGCCGGUGGAAGUUCGAGGCAAUAACAGGUCUGUGAUGCCCUUAGAUGUUCUGGGCCGCACGCGCGCUACACUGACACGUUCAUCGAGCUUACAACCUUGGCCGAUAGGUCUGGGUAAUCUUUUAAAAGCGUGUCGUGCUGGGGAUAGAUUAUUGCAAUUUUUAAUCUUGAACGAGGAAUUCCUAGUAAACGCGAGUCAUCAGCUCGCAUUGAUUACGUCCCUGCCCUUUGUACACACCGCCCGUCGCUACUACCGAUUGAAUGGCUUAGUGAGUUGCACAGACUGUUGCGUUCGAUCGGUUUACCUUUC
rnacentral:rRNA from 1 species